rnacentral:piRNA from 1 species
UAAAGCACCCAUUCUUCUGGAGUGAA